rnacentral:rRNA from 1 species
AGUUGUCCUGCGGGGCGAUGUGACGGUACCGAAUGAAUAAACACCGGCUAACUCCAUGCCAGCAGCCGCGGUAAUACGGAGGGUGCGAGCGUUGUCCGGAUUUAUUGGGUUUAAAGGGUGCGUAGGUGGCUUGAUAAGUCAGUGGUGAAAUACAGCCGCUCAACUGUUGAGGUGCCAUUGAUACUGUCGAGCUUGAAACAAGUGGAGGCUGCCGGAAUGGAUGGUGUAGCGGUGAAAUGCAUAGAUAUCAUCCAGAACACCGAUCGCGAAGGCAAGUGGCUACCUUUGGUUUGACACUGAGGCACGAAAGCAUGGGGAGCAAACAGGAUUAGAUACCCUGGUAGUCCAUGCCUGUAAACGAUGAGGACUCGCUGUUGGUCAUUUAUGGUCAGCGGCUUAGGGAAACCGUUAAGUCCUCCACCUGGGGAGUACGCCGG